AGCAUGUUAGCUCAGGGGAAGAGCGGUAAUUAUUCACGUGACCUGCAGAAUUAGACCACAAGCUAACGUUUCACAGCCGGGCUCAUAACCCGGAGGUCCCUGGAUCGAAACCAGGACAUGCUA